UUAACCCUAGAUACUCUCUCUCUCUCUCUCUCCCCUUUCCCCGCCCACUCUCUCUCAUCGGUGAUCUUUUUCUCACUUCACAACAAUAUCUCCUCCAAUUCUCUGUCCUUUCUCUCGCGACUCUGGCUCCGAUGAAGCUCUUCUCUCCUAUGCCGCAUAAGAUUUUCUCUCUCUUUGGAUUUGUGAGUCGUAUGAGGUCAAAGCCAUUGUAAAACUUAUGAUGGUAUUUUGGCUGUUUUUCACAAGUGGCAAAAUGAUUUUUUGCAGAAUUGGGACAGUUGCAGAACAUUGUGUCUUUGAUACUUAACAACAACAACAUACAAGGGGAGAUACCUGCUCAGCUUGCCAAUUGUCUAAGUCUUGCAUCCUUGAAUGUUUCUUACAACAAUCUGUCUGGAGUUGUACCUCCUAUAAGGAACUUUUCUAAUUUGUCACCAGACAGCUUCAUUGGAAAUCCAUUGUUGUGUGGAAACUGGUUGGGGUCUAUCUGCAGACCUUAUGUGCCAAAAUCGAAAGGAGUAUUCUCUAGAGCUGCACUUGUAUGUAUGACGUUGGGCUUCAUAACACUGCUAUCUUUGGUAAUAGUUGCAAUUUACAAAUCUCACCAACCAAAUGAAUUGAUGACAGGAUCUGGAAAGAUUGGUCAAGAUGCAACUAGUUCUUUUGAUUGGCACAAAGCUACAACAUAUUAUUGCGACCCUGGCACAAGAGAAUGCUGGUUUAAGAGUUCAUGGAGAAAGGAAGAGGCCAGGGAUGAUCUUUUCUGGUUUAAGAAGCCAGAACUUCCGUUAUCACUGAUCCAUUUUUGUUCUAUUCCAGUGGAGGUUCUCUGGGAAUAAUGGUCUUUAUGGUGAAAAUGGCAUUGUCACUGGAAGAAAAUGUCCCAAGGGCCUCUAUGGCACUUACUGCAGGGAAUGCCCCAUUGGCACAUAUAAAGAUACUGAUGGCUUAGAUGACAAUCUUUGUGUUCCUUAUUCACUUGAUCUUCUUCCUAGUCGUGCUGAGUUCAUAUAUAUAUGUGAGGUAGCUUUACAUAUCCUAUUUACUUCUUUGUAGAAUUUUUGGUUCCUAUAAGUGUAUAUCUGACAUGUGUGAACUCUUUCUCUCUCUCCCGUUCUUUCGAUUUUGUUUGGGUAAUUUGAUUUGUAUUGUUGAUUUCAGUGGUAGAGGGAUUUGAUUCAAUGGCUCUCACUUCAAGACCAUCACGGGUACCUGCAAAGCUAUUCUUAUGCUAUUCUCUGUUGAUGUCGCAUUAGAGUUUUAAGGUCUAUGCUACUUUAUUCACUCCAAUCGCGCUAUGGAUUUCGUGGAUGACCAAGUGUAUAUGAUCGACUCCUAAGGAUGACCACUAGAGCGACCCCAAUACUAUAACAGACAAUAUCGAUGUCGCCGAAGUCAUUGGAGAAGAAGAGCAAAGACGAACGCCAUCCAUGGCUAUUGGUGCUAUUGGUUCGUUGUCCGCUUUUUUAGUGAAAUAUAGAAGUUUUUUUUAAAUUUUAGCAAAACUUUGUUAGCUAGAAUUUUAUUAUGAUGACUUUGAUUCUCUAAAUUCUACUUUUUGAAAGUUAUUCACUUCUUAAGUGAAACAUGUAUUUGGACCGUGUUAGUUAAUAUGAUGAUAUUGACAUUUUUGUAAA